rnacentral:ncRNA from 1 species
CAUCGCGAGAUGGAAUCUGAAGGAAGCCGGAUGCGGGGAAAGUACUAACCCGUGGGCAAACCUCUGGCCUGACGUACAGAAAUCUCAUAUGAGGUUGCAUGCGAGGGUAAGACUGCCAGACAAGCCGAAGCCCAAUAACUACACGGAAUCGCAUGGAAGAUU